CUGUCUGUCUGUCUCCCUCCCUCUCCCCAGGUCUCCGUAGAGGCCACAUCGGUGGCCAGCCCUCUGCCCUACACUCCUCUACCUCAGGGUUCCAGGGACCCUAGGAACCACAAAGGAGCGUUCGCAAAGUGUCGCUACGUCUACUACGGGAAGAACUCGGAAGGCAACCGGUUCAUCCGCAAUGACCAGCUCUGAUCGGUAGACAGGACCGUGCUGAGAACACCGUCUGAGUCAUGCGUGUUGACUUCAGAGGUUUUGAUGACACGUUUGACAAUGAAGAAUUACGCUUUAUUUUUUAUCUAAUGACUUUCACCAGUGUCUCCCUUGACUUUGGGAGGGGGGAGGGGGGAAUUAGUUAAAUCAGUUUCAAUUUCCUACGAAAACUGUUUAAGUCAUGAUACAUCUCCAUAUGAAUGACCUGUGAUCAUUGAUUGGGGAAAUGAAAUCAAUCAAUCCAAAGCUUUGAUCCACGGCCCAUUGCACACAACAAAUGCAUGUGUGAGCAUGUGUCGUGAUCCAAGCACCCUAACCAGUCAGAUGUCACUGGGUCGCCAAUCAAGCAUAAGCAAACCUCAGGAAAUACAGGGAAGUUAAUCUCCCUCGAAUGUUACUCCCUCCGUCACUGUUUACGUUUCAGCCAUCUUUCCUUCAUUCUCUCAUACUUUCCUUCACUUCUUUCUUCGGUCCAUCCUUCCUUGUUCCAAUCCAUCCAUCCUACCUUAAUCCCCUUCAUUCAUUCAUUCCUUUCUCUCUUUCUUCUUUAAUUCCUUAUUUCGUUCUGUCCUUAAGUCAUUGCCUCCUUCCUUCUGUCAAAAAGAGCCAAUCUGAUAUGACCUGCAUCUUCUUUCAGAUAUGUAUGUUGAAGAUCAAUUUCUGUAGCCUUCGCUUUCUUCGGCCUCUUAAGUGGUCAGUCCAGGUCAGGCCACAGGUCAGUCUAAGUAUAGCCCAGUGAUUAUAUUUUUUGCGUUUUAGUUUCAAAAUCAUAGUAUAUGGUCUUUACGUUUCAAAACCAUAGUAUAUGGUUUUGAAACUUAAAAUGACAUGACACACAAAAGUGUGAUCUGUCAUUUGUCAAGUGAUCUAUCAAGUGUUUUUAUUGUGUAUGUUUUUUAUUUUUAGAAGAAUCACAUAAAAAACGUCUGAAAUUACCAAAUAAGCGACGUAGCUAAUGUUUUUACGUUGCAUGAGCUUAAGAAAAAGUUUACUUUGUUUUCUUUGGCACUAUGGCAAUUAAUAUUUCAGAAAUGCAUAUGUCAAUUUAAAUAAUAAGCUUUUUGGAAUUAUUAUUCUGGCUGUCAGACAAUCUUUAAUUAAUUUGAUAUGCUUGUGAUACAAAUAAAGCAAACCGAUUCAGCCUUUGGGCAAUCAAUCAA